GAAACACGGACCAAGGAGUCUAGCAUGUGCGCGAGUCAUUGGGAAUCACUAAACCUAAAGGCGCAAUGAAAGUGAAGGCCCGCCUAGCGCGGGCCGAGGGAAGAUGGGCGGUCACGGUUUCCGUGCCGCUCCGCACUCCCGGGGCGUCUCAUUCUCAUUGCGAGAAGAGGCGCACCAAGAGCGUACACGCUGGGACCCGAAAGAUGGUGAACUAUGCCUGGUCAGGACGAAGUCAGGGGAAACCCUGAUGGAGGUCCGUAGCGAUUCUGACGUGCAAAUCGAUCGUCGGAACUGGGUAUAGGGGCGAAAGACUAAUCGAACCAUCUAGUAGCUGGUUCCCUCCGAAGUUUCCCUCAGGAUAGCUGGCGCUCGUCGCCUACGAGUCUCAUCCGGUAAAGCGAAUGAUUAGAGGCAUUGGGGUCGAAACGGCCUCAACCUAUUCUCAAACUUUAAAUGGGUGAGAUCUCCGGCUUGCUCGAACUUAUGAAGCCGCGAGACACGGAUCAGAGUGCCAAGUGGGCCAUUUUUGGUAAGCAGAACUGGCGCUGUGGGAUGAACCAAACGCCGAGUUAAAGCGCCUAAAUCGACGCUUAUGGGAUACCAUGAAAGGCGUUGGUAACUUAAGACAGCAGGACGGUGGCCAUGGAAGUCGGAAUCCG
rnacentral:rRNA from 1 species